rnacentral:misc_RNA from 1 species
GAUGAAGAACGCAGUGAAAUGCGAUAAGUAAUGUGAAUUGCAGAAUUCAGUGAAUCAUCGAAUCUUUGAACGCACAUUGCGCCCGCCAGCACUCUGGCGGGCACGCCUGUUCGAGCGUCAUUUCAACCAUCAAGCCCCCAGGGGCUUGUGCUGGGGCCCUGCGGCUGCCCGCAGGCCCUGAAAACCAGUGGCGGGCUCGCUAGUCACACCGAGCGCAGUAGCACAUCUCGCUCAGGGCGUGCGGCGGGCUCCUGCCGUGAAACCCCCCACUGUAACCCCAAAGGUUGACCUCGGAUCAGGUAGGAAUACCCGCUGAACUUAAGCAUAUCAAUAAGCGGAGGA